UACGAAGGGGGCUAGCGUUGUUCGGAAUUACUGGGCGUAAAGCGCGCGUAGGCGGCUUGCCAAGCCAGAGGUGAAAUCCCGGGGCUCAACCCCGGAACUGCCUUUGGAACUGGUAGGCUAGAGACUCGGAGGGGGCAGUGGAAUUCCUAGUGUAGAGGUGAAAUUCGUAGAUAUUAGGAGGAACACCAGUGGCGAAGGCGACUGCCUGGCCGAGUACUGACGCUGAGGUGCGAAAGCGUGGGGAGCAAACAGG
rnacentral:rRNA from 1 species